rnacentral:misc_RNA from 1 species
GAUGAAGAACGUAGCGAAAUGCGAUACUUGGUGUGAAUUGCAGAAUCCCGUGAACCAUCGAGUCUUUGAACGCAAGUUGCGCCCGAAGCCAUUAGGCCGAGGGCACGCCUGCCUGGGCGUCACACGUCGUUGCCCCCCCAUCUACUCCUUCGGGAUUGCGGGGGCGGAUGAUGGCCUCCCGUGCGCCACGCCGCGCGGUUGGCAUAAAUGCCAAGUCCUCGGCGACGCACGCCACGACAAUCGGUGGUUGCGAAACCUCGGUUGCCCGUCGUGUGCGGUCGUCGCGCAUCGAGGGCUCGAAAAAAUUGCCGGGUUCCGGCUCGGCUUUCAACGCGACCCCAGGUCAGGCGGGGUUACCCGCUGAAUUUAAGCAUAUCAAUAAGCGGAGGA